AAAUCGCGCUGCUCGCCCCGAGAUACCUUUUCCAUUAGUCUAGUGGUGAGGUUCUGUAUCCAUUAUGUAGUUAUUUUUUGGUGUUAAGGGAGGUUUUAUUCACAAUGUAAUUCAGUAAAGAUAAAGUACUUAGGAGCAAAAAUGUAGAGCACUAAUUUAUACUAAGAGGUGAUAAGUCCCUUUAGAAUAAAAAUGGCAGAGUCAUCGCCCGGUUGAGAACACAGUGCCAGAUGUCCUAAAAUUCGCAAAACCAACUGAAGAGUUCCUUUGAGGAUAACGAGGAACAGGAAUUUAAUGUUAACUACGUAUAACACACCAACACGUAAUAUGCGGGAUCUAAAACACACAAGGCAGGCCCAUUCCGUAGAAUUAUGGCACAAAUUAAGACCCUUUUGUUGCUAUAUUUCUAUCAAAUAAUACCGAAGGAGAAAUGAACAUCUAAGAAAUAAAAAACUCAUAAGAAAUUCAGGUCCUCAAAAUCUGAAUAGAAGACGCGGUAACCAUCAAACGACAUGACCUUAGAGGCGCCCCGUUAGUAAGGCUUAAGGCCUGGCCCAAUGAUAGAGCAGAUCAAUGAUAGACAAGGCCUAAUAGAGCAAGCGCAAAGAGCGCGAUAGAGCUGCCCAAAUUUUGACGUGCCCCAGUCAUUGACAAUGAAUUCGUUAAUUAAUUCACAACAUCUCUAUAUAAUGACCACGGCGAUGGAACCAGACUUCUCUAGUAAAAUCUAGUAUUUUACGUCCCAAAUUUGUAUCAAGAUCUUUAUUUGUAAGUGGCGUCACCAAUCACGGUUUUUUGCAACAGCAGAGUAUUAGGGAGGUCUUUUUAUCUUGCACCGAAUAAACUACAGCAUAGUCGAGUACAGGCCGGAAACUUGCAGUAUACCUACGCCAAAAAUAAAUAGAGUAACAUCAUUUUUUUUAUUUUAAAUAAAAACUAGUAAUUGUAAUGCUUAGCUUUCAUAACUUAAAAUUCAUUUUAAUAUUGUAUUUAAUGACAAUAAUAUAAUAUUCAUUAGGAUUAUUAAUCUCUAACACAUUUAUAUUAUCUUAAUUACCAAAAUACUGUAACCAUCGGGAAAAAUAUUUUAUGUAAUAUUUAUGAAAUAUGGGAAGAUAUAUAGUAAGUUUAGAACAAAUUCCGGGCGAUGACAUUCAUUAGAAUUAACUGAAGUUAUUAAACUUAUCAUAGUUUAUAUUUAAAGUUAUAAGCUUUUAUCGCAUUCCGUGUUUGACUAUUUGAAAACAAUACAUACUAUAAAUUAUUAUAUCAGGUUUGACUUAAGUUACAAUAAUACAAUAAUUAUUAGGUUAUUAAUAGUAGUACGUUUAACAUUAUAUAUUCGUAUAUAAUUAAAACGGCUGAGAAAAAGGUAUCUCCAAACAUAGUUAUCUUAACUAUGUUACUAGUAAUAAGACCUACAUAAUAUACCUAAAUAACGCAACAAAUAUUAAUGCAAUCGCAUUGCUUAAAUGUUAUAAGAAUACACUGCAAUAUUUGAUACUUAUAUAUCUCACAUACACAAUUAUAUUAUUAUAGUAAAUAUUCUUUCAUCAAUGGAAUGAGCGAUACAACAAUUUAAUAUAAACACUACUUAUAAUCUUCUAUCGAUAGUCAUUGCACCGGCUUGAAAUUUAAUCUAUCUAACUUCUCAUCACUACAGUUAUAUCAGUGUGUAACAAUCUAUAAUACGUAAUUUAUUUUUUGUUGUUAAAAUUACCACUAGAAUCUAUUUAUUUUACUCUUUUUUAAAUAUUUUUAUUUUCGUAAUUAUCACUUUUUUAAACUUUCUGAUUGGAAUUUACGCAAAUUCAUAAAUACGUAAUGGUAUUAUUGUAAAAUGUUUCAGUUAUUAAACCAAUUUUAAUUUAGAUCUUUUUCUGUUUUAUUAAUAUAUUUUAAUACAGUAACCUUAUUCCCAAAUCUUUGAUAUUAUUAUUUUGUUUGGAAUUCCAACUAGGAAAAAUACAUAGUUACAUUUAAAUAUUUUUUCAUAAUUUUAUAAAACCUUGAAAGAACAUUUAUCUAGAAUAUUCUGUAAAUGUAUGAGAUAGCAUAAUAGUAGUAUUACACACUUAUGAAUAAUAAUGAGGCGAAUACUGUACGAAACACAAAUUAAUUACUACUCUUUUAUUAUGAGCAGUCCAUUCAAAUCAUGUAAACUGAAUAAGUUCUAAAUAGAAAUUAACGUUUUUCUUAAAAACUGCCCCCUUUUUACCUUGCAAGUUUAUUUAUUUUUUUACUUACCUACAUUAUUGAUACCCUUGUGUGAUAAGUAUUGAUGUGUUAUGUAGUUUGGCAAUAGAUUUUAAUUAAUAAGUAUUUUUCUUAUUAAUUAACUUUUCACCCCUGCUAGUUAACCCUGACAUAGACAAAGACACGACAAAAAUACCUACUGAGAGUGCAUGUGGUAUCUUUUGUUAAAAUUAAAUAUUGACAAUGGCACGUCAGCAAUGACAAGAACAUCGUCAAUAUUGGAUUGUCCAUUUUCUUAAUAUUUAGUUAUUUUGAGGACUUGCAUACAUAUUAAUUCCUGAAUAUCCAAAGCACAACUACAUCAAUAACAAGGAUCUUAGCUAUUUUUUAAUUUUUAAAAUUAAUAUAUAAUAGUUUAUCACUUAUAAAUUGUCUGCUAAAUCUUGUAAUUGAUUAGUUACUGCAGACCAAAUAAAUAACUCUGCAUCUAAUGUGGAGGGAAUACUGGUUGAAUCAUUUAAAUUUAUAGCCUUCAAAACAAAUGAAAUAAAGUAAUUGCUUGUAAUUAAUAAGUCCUCAAAACCGGAUUGCAGACCAGUAUGGCAGCAUCCGAAAUCAUUGGUUGUUUAGUCACGAUACUAUAUACUUAUAUUACAACUAUAUAUAAAGUUUUAACUUAAAUGCUUGGUCGUAUCAAGCCAUUAGUGAUAGAUGGUUAGAUAGAGUAGGAUAGGUAUUAGGGCAGAAAUAAGGGUGUCAAAAACUGUUACAAGGACCUAAGAGACCUGACAUGGACGUCCUCUGUUGAUGAAUGGGACUGGUGAAAACUUCACCAUGGAGAAUAAGUCCCUUUUUUAUUUAUUCAAUAAAUACAAACUUUGAGCAAUUUAAUUAAAGCUUGACACAGAGUACCUUACUAUGCUUGGGCAUUAUAUUGUUAAGUUUCUUUGCAUUUAGCAUUAAACAUUUGUUGUUACUAUGUUUAUAAUUUGUGCAAUAUUAAUUCAUUGCCACUAAUGAAUUUAACAAAUAACGGCUAAUCUUGUGUGAAUAUACUUAGUUUUUGUGUCGAAGUAAAUAAAUAGAAUCUCAUCUAAAUAUUAAUCUUCAAAGCGUAAAACAAGCUAUUUAGCAAUAUCCAUUAACCAUUGUUUAUUACAUUUGUUUAUGAUUUAAUAAACGUUAGUUUUUUUGUGAAUUAACGUGCCCACCCUUUGCAAACUAACCCCGACGAGGACAUAAAACGACACGACGCAAAUACCUAUUAGUAAAAUAAUGGGUAUUUAAGUUUUUAAAGUUCAGUAUUGUUAAUGGAAUGUCAGCAAUGGCUAGUACUUAGCAAUAUUGGACCAUGAUAUUCAUACAUAAAGUUUUUGUUAGAUAGGUUUUAGGAUAGGAUGAAAUAGAUUUUGGAUUACAAGAAACAAAAUUACAGAAGACGAGGACGUUCAAAUUUUGGCACAGUUAUUGUUAUUUUUUAUUAGAAGAUUUGAGAAUUGUAUUUUUGUGAAACUAACUAAUUACAUUUUGACUUCAUAUAAUUUCUCCACACAUGUUUUGUCACAAAUGUAAUAUUUAUUGUAAUUGUCCAUAAAUUGCACACUGCUUAGUUACUUUUCAUAAGUAAUUUAUCAAUAAAAUGAUUUUGUUUGUGAUUUAGUGUUUGUAAAUUACUUUGUCCACCUUUGUAAUUACAAAUUAAUGUUUAAUUAAUCCCGACAAGGACAAAUGACACGACCAAAAUACCUAUUAGUAAAAUAGUGGGUAUUUAAGUUUUAAUGUUUAAUAUUGUUAAUGGUAAGCCAGCAAUGGCGAUAACAUCAGCCAUAUUAGACUCCUGGUUGUAAUGACACUAAACAAAAAUAAUUAUUAAAAAAAUAAUAAUAUUUGUCAAUAUUAUGUGUUUAAAAUAUUGUAACUUUAUAAUAACUAAAUUUUUAUGCAAUGUAAAAUUUAAAGUUAAACCAAAUUGUAAUAUUUUUCUAAAUAAUUAAAACUGUUAGGUCGUUACAACUAUUUAAACACUUCUACUGAGUUUCUUGCCGGUUCUUCUCAGUAGUGCGUAGGUUCCGAACCGGUGGUAGAGUCAACUAAAAACUUUAUCCGGCAAGUUAAAUCCGGAAAAAUAAUUUGAACAUUUUCAAAAUUUUUACCAAAACAUCACUAUCACACUGGGGAACAGAAAUUGUAAUGAUACGUAAUUGGCAUCUAGAGUAUUGUAAGGUUUAAAUUGUAAUUUAACAUUAUUUAUUGAUGUACUUACUUAUUAUUAUUGUUACUGUAAUGACAAUUUACUGGUCAAAAUGCUGCUAUGUUUUAAGAGCUGUUUAAAAAUAAUUAAUUUAAUCAUGGUUAUUUUUGUUGUAUCAUAUUUUUUUAAAGGUACCUAAGUACAGAAUCAUAAAAAUAUCUUUAAGUGGUGAAUUCAAGUUUGUUUGUUACCCAAAUUAUAAAUAGUUCUAAUAACUGAAAUUCGAUUGUAUUAAUGUCAACUCGUAAUAAUGAAACUGGAUUGGAAUUUUGAUUAAAGCUACUAUUUUUAGGACAAUGCAAAAUUGUUGUAAGUUUAUACCUGUGUUAGAUAAAUUCAUUAUAAAUCGUCAAGUUCCCCAGUGACA